CAUGCAGUCGAACGAUGAAGCCCUUCGGGGUGGAUUAGUGGCGAACGGGUGAGUAACACGUGGGCAAUCUGCCCUGCACUCUGGGACAAGCCCUGGAAACGGGGUCUAAUACCGGAUAACACCUUCUCUCGCAUGGGAGGGGGUUGAAAGCUCCGGCGGUGCAGGAUGAGCCCGCGGCCUAUCAGCUAGUUGGUGAGGUAGAAGCUCACCAAGGCGACGACGGGUAGCCGGCCUGAGAGGGCGACCGGCCACACUGGGACUGAGACACGGCCCAGACUCCUACGGGAGGCAGCAGUGGGGAAUAUUGCACAAUGGGCGAAAGCCUGAUGCAGCGACGCCGCGUGAGGGAUGACGGCCUUCGGGUUGUAAACCUCUUUCAGCAGGGAAGAAGCGAAAGUGACGGUACCUGCAGAAGAAGCGCCGGCUAACUACGUGCCAGCAGCCGCGGUAAUACGUAGGGCGCAAGCGUUGUCCGGAAUUAUUGGGCGUAAAGAGCUCGUAGGCGGCUUGUCACGUCGGUUGUGAAAGCCCGGGGCUUAACCCCGGGUCUGCAGUCGAUACGGGCAGGCUAGAGUUCGGUAGGGGAGAUCGGAAUUCCUGGUGUAGCGGUGAAAUGCGCAGAUAUCAGGAGGAACACCGGUGGCGAAGGCGGAUCUCUGGGCCGAUACUGACGCUGAGGAGCGAAAGCGUGGGGAGCGAACAGGAUUAGAUACCCUGGUAGUCCACGCCGUAAACGGUGGGCACUAGGUGUGGGCGACAUUCCACGUCGUCCGUGCCGCAGCUAACGCAUUAAGUGCCCCG
rnacentral:rRNA from 1 species